GUCGAGGGGUAACGGGGAAGCUUGCUUCCGCCGACGACCGGCGCACGGGUGCGCACCGCGUAUGGAAUCUACCUUAUACAGGGGAAUAGCCUUUGGAAACGAAGAUUAAUGCCCCAUAGUAUCAUUUUACAGCAUUGUAUUUUGAUUAAAGGCUUCGGCCGGUAUAAGAUGACCAUGCGUCCCAUUAGUUUGUUGGUAAGGUAACGGCUUACCAAGACUACGAUGGGUAGGGGCCCUGAGAGGGGGAUCCCCCACACUGGUACUGAGACACGGACCAGACUCCUACGGGAGGCAGCAGUGAGGAAUAUUGGACAAUGGAGGAGACUCUGAUCCAGCCAUGCCGCGUGCAGGAAGAAUGCCCUAUGGGUAGUAAACUGCUUUUAUACAGGAAGAAAAAGAGCUACGUGUAGCUUACUGACGGUACUGUAAGAAUAAGGACCGGCUAACUCCGUGCCAGCAGCCGCGGUAAUACGGAGGGUCCGAGCGUUAUCCGGAAUUAUUGGGUUUAAAGGGUCCGUAGGCGGGCGAUUAAGUCAGUGGUGAAAGUCUGCAGCUCAACUGUAGAACUGCCUUUGAUACUGGUCGUCUUGAGUUAUAGUGAAGUUGCCGGAAUAUGUAGUGUAGCGGUGAAAUGCAUAGAUAUUACAUAGAACACCGAUUGCGAAGGCAGGUGACUAACUAUAUACUGACGCUGAUGGACGAAAGCGUGGGGAGCGAACAGGAUUAGAUACCCUGGUAGUCCACGCCGUAAACGAUGGAUACUAGCUGUCCGGAACCUUGAGUUCUGGGCGGCCAAGCGAAAGUGAUA
rnacentral:rRNA from 1 species